ACACAUGCAAGUCGAACGAGGUAUUUUGAUUGAAGUUUUCGGAUGGAUUUCAAGAUACCGAGUGGCGGACGGGUGAGUAACGCGUGGGUAACCUGCCUCAUACAGGGGGAUAACGGUUAGAAAUGACUGCUAAUACCGCAUAAGCGCACAGUACCGCAUGGUACGGUGUGAAAAACUCCGGUGGUAUGAGAUGGACCCGCGUCUGAUUAGCUAGUUGGUGGGGUAACGGCCCACCAAGGCGACGAUCAGUAGCCGACCUGAGAGGGUGACCGGCCACAUUGGGACUGAGACACGGCCCAGACUCCUACGGGAGGCAGCAGUGGGGGAUAUUGCACAAUGGAGGAAACUCUGAUGCAGCGACGCCGCGUGAGUGAAGAAGUAUUUCGGUAUGUAAAGCUCUAUCAGCAGGGAAGAAAAUGACGGUACCUGACUAAGAAGCCCCGGCUAACUACGUGCCAGCAGCCGCGGUAAUACGUAGGGGGCAAGCGUUAUCCGGAUUUACUGGGUGUAAAGGGAGCGUAGACGGCGACGCAAGUCUGAAGUGAAAUACCCGGGCUCAACCUGGGAACUGCUUUGGAAACUGUGUUGCUAGAGUGCUGGAGAGGUAAGCGGAAUUCCUAGUGUAGCGGUGAAAUGCGUAGAUAUUAGGAAGAACACCAGUGGCGAAGGCGGCUUACUGGACAGUAACUGACGUCGAGGCUCGAAAGCGUGGGG
rnacentral:rRNA from 1 species